AUCCUGGCUCAGAACGAACGCUGGCGGCAAGCCUAACACAUGCAAGUCGAACGGACAAUUGUUUAUAUCUUUGGUAUAAAUAAUUGUUAGAGGCAGACGGGUGAGUAAUGCGUAGGAAUCUACCUAGUAGUAUGGAAUAGCCAUUAGAAAUGAUGGGUAAUACUGUAUAAUCCCUGCGGGGGAAAGAUUUAUCGCUAUUAGAUGAGCCUACGUUAGAUUAGCUAGUUGGUAAGGUAAUGGCUUACCAAGGCUAUGAUCUAUAGCUGGUCUGAGAGGACGAUCAGCCACACUGGAACUGAGAUACGGUCCAGACUCCUACGGGAGGCAGCAGUGGGGAAUAUUGGACAAUGGGCGAAAGCCUGAUCCAGCUAUGCCGCGUGAGUGAAGAAGGCCUUCGGGUUGUAAAGCUCU
rnacentral:rRNA from 1 species